GGUGUGAGACAGGUGUGGUGGUGGUGGGAGACAGGUGUGUUAGAUUAGACAGGUGUUGUAUGUAGUGGUAGUUUAGACAGGUGUGGUGGUGUUAGAUUAGACAGGUGUUGUAUGUAGUGGUAGUUUAGACAGGUGUGGUGGUGUUAGAUUAGACAGGUGUUGUAUGUAGUGGUAGUUUAGACAGGUGUGGUGGUGUUAGAUUAGACAGGUGUUGAAUGUAGUGGUAGUUUAGACAGGUGUGGUGGUGUUAGAUUAGACAGGUGUUGUAUGUAGUGGUAGUUUAGACAGGUGUGGUGGUGUUAGAUUAGACAGGUGUUGAAUGUAGUGGUAGUUUAGACAGGUGUGGUGGUGGUGGGAGACUGGUGUUGAAUGUAGUGGUAGUUUAGACAGGUGUGGUGGUGGUAGAUUAGACAGGUGUUGAAUGUAGUGGUAGUUUAGACAGGUGUGGUGGUGGUAGAUUAGACAGGUGUUGAAUGUAGUGGUAGUUUAGACAGGUGUGGUGGUGGUGGGAGACAGGUGUUGAAUGUAGUGGUAGUUUAGACAGGUGUGGUGGUGUUAGAUUAGACAGGUGUUGUAUGUAGUGGUAGUUUAGACAGGUGUGGUGGUGUUAGAUUAGACAGGUGUUGAAUGUAGUGGUAGUUUAGACAGGUGUGGUGGUGUUAGAUUAGACAGGUGUUGAAUGUAGUGGUAGUUUAGACAGGUGUGGUGGUGUUAGAUUAGACAGGUGUUGUAUGUAGUGGUAGUUUAGACAGGUGUGGUGGUGUUAGAUUAGACAGGUGUUGAAUGUAGUGGUAGUUUAGACAGGUGUGGUGGUGUUAGAUUAGACAGGUGUUGAAUGUAGUGGUAGUUUAGACAGGUGUGGUGGUGUUAGAUUAGACAGGUGUUGUAUGUAGUGGUAGUUUAGACAGGUGUGGUGGUGUUAGAUUAGACAGGUGUUGAAUGUAGUGGUAGUUUAGACAGGUGUGGUGGUGUUAGAUUAGACAGGUGUUGAAUGUAGUGGUAGUUUAGACAGGUGUGGUGGUGUUAGAUUAGACAGGUGUUGUAUGUAGUGGUAGUUUAGACAGGUGUGGUGGUGUUAGAUUAGACAGGUGUUGAAUGUAGUGGUAGUUUAGACAGGUGUGGUGGUGGUGGGAGACAGGUGUUGUAUGUAGUGGUAGUUUAGACAGGUGUGGUGGUGUUAGAUUAGACAGGUGUUGAAUGUAGUGGUAGUUUAGACAGGUGUGCUGUCCAGGUGACUGUUGUCAGGCACAGGUGACAGGUAGCUAUGUGAGAACACAUCUCGGCUCCUUACUUUUAUACCUGCAACACUGUGGGAUAAAAAUAGACAUCAGGUCACUCUCCUGCUUCAGACAUGUGAGAGGACACUUCACUUGAAAGGCAUUUGAGUUUCUUCCUUGUUUUAGUUUCUUGACUUUUCCACCCUGCUGCUCGUAAACCAUGGUGCCAUUCUGAAAUGUUUGUGUGUGUGGUGUCUGUGUGUGUGUGUGUGUGUGU